rnacentral:rRNA from 1 species
ACGAACGCUGGCGGCAUGCCUAACACCUGCCAGUCGAACGAGACCUUCGGGUCUAGUGGCGCACGGGUGCGUAACGCGUGGGAACCUGCCCUUAGGUUCGGAAUAACUCCCCGAAAGGGGUGCUAAUACCGGAUAAUGUCUUCGGACCAAAGAUUUAUCGCCUUUGGAUGGGCCCGCGUUGGAUUAGCUAGUUGGUAGGGUAAAAGCCUACCAAGGCGACGAUCCAUAGCUGGUCUGAGAGGAUGAUCAGCCACACUGGGACUGAGACACGGCCCAGACUCCUACGGGAGGCAGCAGUGGGGAAUAUUGGACAAUGGGCGAAAGCCUGAUCCAGCAAUGCCGCGUGAGUGAUGAAGGCCUUAGGGUUGUAAAGCUCUUUUACCCGGGAUGAUAAUGACAGUACCGGGAGAAUAAGCUCCGGCUAACUCCGUG